UCCUGACUGACCGAUAGUGAACCAGUACCGUGAGGGAAAGGCGAAAAGAACCCCGGCGAGGGGAGUGAAAAAGAACCUGAAACCGUGUACGUACAAGCAGUGGGAGCACCCUUCGGGGUGUGACUGCGUACCUUUUGUAUAAUGGGUCAGCGACUUAUAUUCUGUAGCAAGGUUAACCGAAUAGGGGAGCCGGAGGGAAACCGAGUCUUAAUUGGGCGUUAAGUUGCAGGGUAUAGACCCGAAACCCGGUGAUCUAGCCAUGGGCAGGUUGAAGGUUGGGUAACACUAACUGGAGGACCGAACCGACUAAUGUUGAAAAAUUAGCGGAUGACCUGUGGCUGGGGGUGAAAGGCCAAUCAAACCGGGAGAUAGCUGGUUCUCCCCGAAAGCUAUUUAGGUAGCGCCUCGUGAAUUCAUCUCCGGGGGUAGAGCACUGUUUCGGCUAGGGGGCCAUCCCGGCUUACCAACCCGAUGCAAACUGCGAAUACCGGAGAAUGUUAUCACGGGAGACACACGGCGGGUGCUAACGUCCGUCGUGAAGAGGGAAACAACCCAGACCGCCAGCUAAGGUCCCAAAGUCAUGGUUAAGUGGGAAACGAUGUGGGAAGGCCCAGACAGCCAGGAUGUUGGCUUAGAAGCAGCCAUCAUUUAAAGAAAGCGUAAUAGCUCACUGGUCGAGUCGGCCUGCGCGGAAGAUGUAACGGGGCUAAACCAUGCACCGAAGCUGCGGCAGCGACACUGUGUGUUGUUGGGUAGGGGAGCGUUCUGUAAGCCUGUGAAGGUGUGUCGUGAGGCAUGCUGGAGGUAUCAGAAGUGCGAAUGCUGACAUAAGUAACGAUAAAGCGGGUGAAAAGCCCGCUCGCCGGAAGACCAAGGGUUCCUGUCCAACGUUAAUCGGGGCAGGGUGAGUCGACCCCUAAGGCGAGGCCGAAAGGCGUAGUCGAUGGGAAACGGGUUAAUAUUCCCGUACUUGGUGUUACUGCGAAGGGGGGACGGAGAAGGCUAUGUUGGCCGGGCGACGGUUGUCCCGGUUUAAGCGUGUAGGUGUGUGUUCCAGGUAAAUCCGGUUCACUUUAACACUGAGGCGUGACGACGAGGCACUACGGUGCUGAAGCAACAAAUGCCCUGCUUCCAGGAAAAGCCUCUAAGCAUCAGGUAACAUCAAAUCGUACCCCAAACCGACACAGGUGGUCAGGUAGAGAAUACCAAGGCGCUUGAGAGAACUCGGGUGAAGGAACUAGGCAAAAUGGUGCCGUAACUUCGGGAGAAGGCACGCUGACACGUAGGUGAAGUGAUUUACUCAUGGAGCUGAAGUCAGUCGAAGAUACCAGCUGGCUGCAACUGUUUAUUAAAAACACAGCACUGUGCAAACACGAAAGUGGACGUAUACGGUGUGACGCCUGCCCGGUGCCGGAAGGUUAAUUGAUGGGGUCAGCGCAAGCGAAGCUCCUGAUCGAAGCCCCGGUAAACGGCGGCCGUAACUAUAACGGUCCUAAGGUAGCGAAAUUCCUUGUCGGGUAAGUUCCGACCUGCACGAAUGGCGUAAUGAUGGCCAGGCUGUCUCCACCCGAGACUCAGUGAAAUUGAACUCGCUGUGAAGAUGCAGUGUACCCGCGGCAAGACGGAAAGACCCCGUGAACCUUUACUAUAGCUUGACACUGAACAUUGAGCCUUGAUGUGUAGGAUAGGUGGGAGGCUUUGAAGCGUGGACGCCAGUCUGCGUGGAGCCGACCUUGAAAUACCACCCUUUAAUGUUUGAUGUUCUAACGUGGACCCGUGAUCCGGGUUGCGGACAGUGUCUGGUGGGUAGUUUGACUGGGGCGGUCUCCUCCUAAAGAGUAACGGAGGAGCACGAAGGUUGGCUAAUCCUGGUCGGACAUCAGGAGGUUAGUGCAAUGGCAUAAGCCAGCUUGACUGCGAGCGUGACGGCGCGAGCAGGUGCGAAAGCAGGUCAUAGUGAUCCGGUGGUUCUGAAUGGAAGGGCCAUCGCUCAACGGAUAAAAGGUACUCCGGGGAUAACAGGCUGAUACCGCCCAAGAGUUCAUAUCGACGGCGGUGUUUGGCACCUCGAUGUCGGCUCAUCACAUCCUGGGGCUGAAGUAGGUCCCAAGGGUAUGGCUGUUCGCCAUUUAAAGUGGUACGCGAGCUGGGUUUAGAACGUCGUGAGACAGUUCGGUCCCUAUCUGCCGUGGGCGCUGGAGAACUGAGGGGGGCUGCUCCUAGUACGAGAGGACCGGAGUGGACGCAUCACUGGUGUUCGGGUUGUCAUGCCAAUGGCACUGCCCGGUAGCUAAAUGCGGAAGAGAUAAGUGCUGAAAGCAUCUAAGCACGAAACUUGCCCCGA
rnacentral:rRNA from 1 species